rnacentral:misc_RNA from 1 species
GAAAUGCGAUAAGUAAUGUGAAUUGCAGAAUUCAGUGAAUCAUCGAAUCUUUGAACGCACCUUGCGCUCCUUGGUAUUCCUUGGAGCAUGCCUGUUUGAGUAUCAUGAAAUCUUCAAAGUAAAUCUUUUGUUAACUCAAUUGGUUUCUACUUUGGUAUUGGAGGUCUUUGCAGCUUCACACCUGCUCCUCUUUGUUCAUUAGCUGGAUCUCAGUGUUAUGCUUGGUUCCACUCGGCGUGAUAAGUUAUCUAUCGCUGAGGACACUGUAAAAGGUGGCCAAGGUAAAGGCAGAUGAACCGCUUCUAAUAGUCCAUUGACUUGGACAAUACUUUUAUGAUCUGAUCUCAAAUCAGGUAGGACUACCCGCUGAACUUAAGC